AAGUCGUAACAAGGUUUCCGUAGGUGAACCUGCGGAAGGAUCAUUAUUGAAAGAAACCUCAGGCAGGGGGAGAUGGUUGUAGCUGGCCUCUAGGGGCAUGUGCACACUGUGUCUCUCUUGCUUGUUUCUUCAUUCUCUCCACUUGUGCACUGCUUGUAGGCAGCCCUGGCAUUGUUCAGGCUGUCUAUGAUUUUAUUUACAUACAUGAACAAUUGUUGUACAGAAUGUGAUAAAAAAAAUAGUAAUACAACUUUCAACAACGGAUCUCUUGGCUCUC
rnacentral:misc_RNA from 1 species